rnacentral:tRNA from 1 species
AGGAAUGUAGCUCUAUGGGAAAGUACUUGUUUAACAUGCAGGAGGCCCUAGGUUCAACCCCUAGCAUCACUA